UGAGAAUCUCAUUUAAAAUCAGAGAAUACAAAUCAUAGAUUCAUCUGCCUGGUGGGAAGGAAAAUGUUCCCUGAGUCUCAGUUUCUCCAAUUACAACUGAGUUAUUUUUGUAAAACUCCAGAGAAGGCACUCGGGCAGCCUUGGUCUCAUUGAUUGUUCCACUUGGAUUGAGUGCCCCUGGGGGGCUUGGCCCAGGGCUGCCUGGGAGCCCCUCAGGAGCUGGGCAACAUUAGUGUUGGAAAAGCCCUCCAAGCUCAUCUGGUCUGACCAUCACCCUACUGCCACUGUCACCCACUAGGCCAUGUCCCCAAGCACCACGUCCAACCUUUCCUUGAACGCCCCCAGGGACAGUUCAACCAGGGACGCCCACCACCUCCCUGGGCAACCCGUCCCAACGCCUGACUGCUCUUCUGAGAGAAAUGUCUCCUCAUUUCCGACCUGAACCUCCCCUGGCACACCUUGAGGCUGUUCCCUCUGGUCCUAUCACUGGUUACCCGUGAGAAGAGGCUGACCCCCAGCUCCCCACACCUUCCUUUCAAGCAGUUGCAGAGAGCAAUGAGGUCUCCCCUGAGCCUCCUCUUCUCCAGACCAACCCCCCCCCCAGCUCCCUCAGCUGCUCCUGACAGGACUUGUGUUCCAGAACCUUCUCCAGCUUCGUAGCCCUGCUCUGGACAUGUUCUGGGGCCUCGAUGUCCUUCUUCUAGUGAGGGGCCCAAAGCUGAACACAGCACCCGAGGUGAGCCCUCACCAGAGCAGAGUACUGGGGGACGAUCACCUCCCUGCUCCUGCUGGCUACACUAUUCCUGAUUCCAGCCAGGAUGCUGUUGGCCUUCUUGGCCACCUGGACACACUGCUGGCUCAUGUUAGGACGGCUGCUGGGGCAGGUACGCACACCACCUCGCUUUGGUCCCCAAGGUGUCAUGGAUGGCCAGGAACUGACCUGACAAAUACAUUUCUCGUCACUCGUACCCGAUCAAGGGCUCGAUCCACUGAUGGACUGAGGGGGAGAUGGAUGAAGGAGGCAUGCCUUGUGUUCCCGUUCACCUCCAGAUGCUUUCAGGCGGUGCCGGCAGCGAGCUCCCCCCACGCCCUGCAGUGGUGCUGAAGGACUGUGCUUGGGGACCGGCCAUGGGGAAUUCCCUGAGAAGAUUGCUUCAGGCUGCCAGUUCCCAAAUUGCACCGCACCUGCUGUGCUCAAGGCAAGGAGAAAGAAAGCAGAGGGAGGAAAUGAGUUCGGAGAAGGUUUUUUAAAGCUGGAGUGAGAGUGCUUGGGUGUCAGGUGGGGAAUCUUUAUGCCGGGCACCGCUUCUCUCUAAAUACAAUCCUGUUUUCCAGUCAGAGCUUAUUGUCUCUUCCUUGAUAUUUCUAGCUAUAUCAGUGUGUUGCCAGGGAAAUAAGGCUUCUGAUGUGAUAAAUUCCAUGUUAGAACUUCAGUCCCAAGAUAAAUGAGAUCAGAGAUUAGAGGGGAAAACAUUUUUUUUAAAUGCCAGUGGUGGUGUUAAUGAGCAGCAGUAGGAGGGGAGUG
rnacentral:lncRNA from 1 species